GAACGCACCUUGCGCCCUUUGGCUAUUCCGAAGGGCAUGCCUGUUUGAGUAUCAUGAACACCUCAACUCUCAUGGCCCUGCCAUGAUGAGCUUGGACUUUGGGGGGUCUUGCUGGCCUAUGGGUCAGCUCCUUUCAAAUGAUUCAGCUUGCCAGUGUUUGGUGGCGUCACAGGUGUGAUAACUAUCUACGCUUGUGGUUUUCCACCAGGUAACCUUCAGUGAUGGAGGUUCGCUGGGGCUCAUAAAUGUGUCUCUCCUCACCGAGGACAGCUCUCUAGACGUUUGAUCUCAAAUCAGGUAGGACUACCCGCUGAACUUAAG
rnacentral:misc_RNA from 1 species